rnacentral:rRNA from 1 species
GGCCUACCAUGGUGGUAACGGGUAACGGGGUGUUAGGGCACGACACCGGAGAGGGAGCCUGAGAAACGGCUACCACAUCCAAGGAUGGCAGCAGGCGCGCAAAUUACCCAAUCCCGACACGGGGAGGUAGUGACAAUAAAUAACAAUACGGGGUUCUUUCGGAUCUCGUAAUUGGAAUGAGUACAAUUUAAAUCUCUUAACGAGGAACAAUUGGAGGGCAAAUCUGGUGCCAGCAGCCGCGGUAAUUCCAGCUCCAAUAGCGUAUAUUAAAGUUGUUGCAGUUAAAAAGCUCGUAGUUGAAUUUCGGGAUCAAAUUGUCGGUCGUGCCUCGGUACGAACUGGUAUUAUUGGUUCCUACCUUCUGAAGAACCGCGAUGUCAUUAAUUUGGUGUCGUGGGAAAUCAGGACUGUUACUUUGAAAAAAUUAGAGUGUUUAAAGCAGGCUUACGCUUGAAUACAUUAGCAUGGAAUAAUGAAAUAGGACGUUUGAUUCUAUUUUGUUGGUUUCUAGGAUUGACGUAAUGAUUAAUAGGGAUAGUUGGGGGCAUUAGUAUUCAAUUGUCAGAGGUGAAAUUCUUGGAUUUAUUGAAGACUAACUACUGCGAAAGCAUUUGCCAAGGAUGUUUUCAUUAACCAAGAACGAAAGUUAGGGGAUCGAAGACGAUCAGAUACCGUCGUAGUCUUAACCAUAAACUAUGCCGACUAGGGAUCGGAUGAUGUUAAUUUUUUAAUGACUCAUUCGGCGCCUUACG